GACAGAGGGGGCAAGCGUUGUCCGGAUUUACUGGGCGUACAGCGCGCGCAGGCGGUCGGGCAGGUACCUGGUGACAACCUCGCGCUCAACGCGAGGCGGACUGGGUAAACCGCCCAACUGGAGACAGGGAGAGGGACGUGGAAUACCCGGUGGAGCGGUGAAAUGCGUAGAGAUCGGGUGGAACACCAGUGGCGAAGGCGGCGUCCUGGCCCUGGACUGACGCUGAGGCGCGAGAGCGUGGGGAGCGAACGGGAUUAGAAACCCCCGUAGUCC
rnacentral:rRNA from 1 species